rnacentral:rRNA from 1 species
GACGUAGGAGGCGAGCGUUGUCCGGAUUUACUGGGCGUAAAGAGCGCGCAGGCGGUCGUUCAAGUCGCGUGUGAAAGCCCCCGGCUCAACUGGGGAGGGUCACGCGAUACUGAUCGACUCGAAGGCAGGAGAGGGAAGUGGAAUUCCCGGCGUAGUGGUGAAAUGCGUAGAUAUCGGGAGGAACACCAGUGGCGAAGGCGGCGUUCUGGACUGCUACUGACACUGAGGAACGAAAGCCAGGGGAGCAAACGGG